rnacentral:rRNA from 1 species
AGAGUUUGAUCAUGGCUCAGAUUGAACGCUGGCGGCAUGCCUUACACAUGCAAGUCGAACGGCAGCACGGGGGCAACCCUGGUGGCGAGUGGCGAACGGGUGAGUAACACAUCGGAACGUACCCAGUUGUGGGGGAUAACCAGUCGAAAGACGGGCUAAUACCGCAUGAUCUGGCGACAGCAAAGCGGGGGAUCGGUAACGACCUCGCGCGAUUGGAGCGGCCGAUGUCCGAUUAGCUAGUUGGCGGGGUAAAGGCCCACCAAGGCUUUGAUCGGUAGCUGGUCUGAGAGGAUGAUCAGCCACACUGGGACUGAGACACGGCCCAGACUCCUACGGGAGGCAGCAGUGGGGAAUUUUGGACAAUGGGGGCAACCCUGAUCCAGCCAUGCCGCGUGAGUGAAGAAGGCCUUCGGGUUGUAAAGCUCUUUCGGUAGGAACGAAACGGUUACGGCUAAUACCUGUGACUAAUGACGGUACUUACAGAAGAAGCACCGGCUAACUACGUGCCAGCAGCCGCGGUAAUACGUAGGGUGCGAGCGUUAAUCGGAAUUACUGGGCGUAAAGGGUGCGCAGGCGGUCUCGUAAGCUGGGUGUGAAAGCCCCGGGCUUAACCUGGGAAUGGCAUUCAGGACUGCGAGGCUUUGAGUGCGGCAGAGGGAGGUGGAAUUCCCGUGUAGCAGUGAAAUGCGUAGAGAUGUGGAGGAACACCGAUGGCGAAGGCAGCCUCCUGGGCCAGCACUGACGCUCAUGCACGAAAGCGUGGGGAGCAAACAGGAUUAGAUACCCUAGUAGUCC